rnacentral:rRNA from 1 species
UACGAAGGGGGCUAGCGUUGCUCGGAAUCACUGGGCGUAAAGCGCGCGUAGGCGGCUUUUUAAGUCAGGGGUGAAAUCCUGGAGCUCAACUCCAGAACUGCCUUUGAUACUGAGAAGCUUGAGUCUGGGAGAGGUGAGUGGAACUGCGAGUGUAGAGGUGAAAUUCGUAGAUAUUCGCAAGAACACCAGUGGCGAAGGCGGCUCACUGGCCCGGUACUGACGCUGAGGUGCGAAAGCGUGGGGAGCAAACAGG